AAGAUACUAAAAUAGUAGAUAAAUAUUUAUUUAAACUUAAAUAAUUUGGCGGUAUUUUAGUUCAUUUAGAGGAAUCUGUUUAAUAAUUGAUAUUCCACGAAUAAAUUUACUUAAUUUAUUAUUUUGUAUAUCGUUGUUAUAAAAAUAUUUUUUAAUAAAAUUAAUAUUUAAAAAUUAAUAUGUAAAUUUAAAUCAGAUCAAGAUGCAGAUUAUAAUUAAGAAUAUAAUGGAUUACAAUAAAUUUAUUUAAAUGAAUAUUAAUUUGUAAAAAUUAAUUUAAAGUGGAUUUAAAUGUAAUUUUAUUUAAUUUAAUAAAAUGAUUAAAAAUUAAAAUAUGU
rnacentral:rRNA from 1 species